ensembl:lncRNA
AAUGGACCAAAGCCACCCCAAAGCUUCUCCCUUGGAAAUUCCACCUUGGUCUGUUUCACUCGCGUCCUCCUGCGGGUGUCGAGCCAGAGGCCCCGGGCCCAGCCUCCCCCGCCCACCCCGGCCCCUCAGCGCCCGAUCUCGAGCCUCCGUGCGCCGGUCCGCCGGGUCCGGGAGCCCAACCUGCGCGGAUCUCCAAGCCCGGAGCCGCGGUGCGUGUGGGCUGCGCGCCCCGAUCGGCUAAGGGCGCUGGAGCUGCGUGGGUGUAUUUAAAUGGGACAUGCUUCUUUGCUUGUGCGUGGAUGGCGGCUGCAUUGGCUGUUAUAAUGAGACACAUCAACUCCUCCACUCAGCUGGGGGGUGGGGGUGGAGAACCACACAGAACUGUCUAUCACCGCUUCCUGGGAGGAGUAAAGGGGGGAGGCGGAGGAGGCGUGGUCUCCGACUGGGGAGAGGCCGCGCUUCCUGACCCGGUCCCUCGACACCAGCGUGGAUGGGGGAGGGGCGCGCACCCUCCCGCCCAGGCUCCUGCGGGCUAAUCGGGGCGGAUCGGCGGGGCAGUCCCUGACCCUUGCCGGGCUUAUCGCGGGGGCUCAAGCUCUAUUUUUGUGUGUCCAACUCGGGCAUUGCAGCAAAAUGGCUCUUUCCUCGCCUCUUGGGUUUUCUCGGUGGGAUUCAAAUGCUCUAGAGCUGGGGGGGGGGGGGGGGCAGAAAGGGAAAAAAAAAAAGACAGCGACGCCCUCCCUCCCCCAUUAAUUAUUUGUGGGGCUCGAGUAAGGCGGGCUGGUGCAACCGGUGCAUAUAAGGACUUGUGUGCAGGGAAGGGGAUCCGCCUCCAGGCGUGGAACGAGCCCGGGAGAAGCGCGCACGCACGGCGCGUCCGGCCUGGCGCUUCUGUAAUCUGCAGCGGCCCGGGGGUCGGGUCCACCCGCAGUAACCGAUAUGCCGGACUGCGCCGGUCCCAAGUUGCGGGUUCCUCUGCGGGAAAGCUAGGGAAUCAGAGCUCCCUUUCGGAUCGCCACACCCAGGACCAGCUCGUGCCGCAGUUCCCCACGAAUCGGAACGUAGAAGCUCGUUCUCCGGGCGCAAUAGCUUCCAAGCCAUCAGAUUUACUACCCUGCUUGGAACUGCAGAUCCUUGAAGCUGGGGAUGGAGUUGGUGCAUCCCCUGGGUGAGACACAAAAGUUUGCCAGUCACCCAGCAAGGUCUCUUCAUUUAACUGAAGGCAUUGCUUGUACCCUUGCAAACUGUCUCAGACCACUCUGGAACAAGUCGGAGCAGCUCUAUAUGGCUGUCAACCUUUUUAGAUGUCUUCACAACACUCCCACUUUGUGCUGUAGAAAUUCCUUGGGGCCCCAAGCAUGUAUCGUUUGCACUGUGUGAUCUUGCUGGCCUGAUCACCUUGACUGGAACUGAGCAACGUAUCUGACUCAAGCUGAGCCAUGGACUCUUUCCUCCAGGAAUCUGACAUUGGAGCAGACAAAUGCCAUGCUGUGCUAGGCAAGGCCCAGGCUGCGUGAAUAUCUGCAGCACUGAUUCUCAACCUUGGCUGCCCAUGGAGUUGCCUGAGACACUUUUAAAAGUCCAUCUCCUACUCAGCAGACUCAUAGAAUGGCGGAUGUCCUAAAUAGCACUCUGGCCUCAGAAUCAGCCCUAAAGGCACUCGGAUCUGGCUGAAAAGCCCAUGAGAGUAUUUCAGGCAUGGAAAGCCAAGACACUCUGGCAAAAAGAUCUCUGUGAGUGAGAUCCCAGUGGAAAGAACAGGUCUUCAAAGAGGGAGGUGCCUUUCUCUGAAGGGAGGAGAGAACCUCCACUUUGACUAUGACCUUAUCUAAACAAGGUAAGAGUCGGAGAACUCAAGGGGCUUCCAUAGCCUUGGAAACUCAUGACUGGUGCAUAGGGAGAUUACUGAUGCCAUAAACAGAAGUGUCAAUUUGUAAAGUCAACAACAGGAGUCACUGUGCACUUACUCCUCAUGUAGGAUAUCUGUCCUUAAUGUGCUGUACACUGAGGCUUAAUGCUAUAACGAGUACUCAAACAGUAUAUUUCACUUUGUGUUUCUAUGGGGGUGCAAACGAUUGAAAUCUUUACUUAAUGUACACUAAACUGAUCUUCUGUAAAAAAAAAAAAAAAGAAAAAAGAAAUUAUCAAUUCCCAACUUGACUCUCACUGGGAUUAAACAUGACAAUAGGUCUGAUCUGAUUUCAUCAUCAUUCAAAAAAAAUCAUCUAUUAUUUUUCACUUUAUGUUUCUGUGUGGGAGCAAACUGUUGAAAUCCUUACUUAAGGUAUACUAAGCUGAUCUUCUGUAUAUUAAGAUAAUCGAAAAUGAAUCUUGAUGUGAAUGGAAGGGGAGAAGGAGUGGGAAAGGGGAUGGUUGUGGGUGGGAGGGACGGUAUGGGGGGGGGAAGCCAUUGUAACCCAUGAGUCGUACUUUGGAAAUUUAUAUUCAUUAAAUAAAAGAUAAAAAAAAAUAAAAAAAAAGUCCA